rnacentral:rRNA from 1 species
GAAGGGGGGCUAGCGUUGUUCGGAAUUACUGGGGCGUAAAGCGCGCGCAGGCGAUUUUCCAAGUCAGAGGUGAAAGCCCAGAGCUCAACUCUGGAACUGCCUUUGAAACUGGAAAACUAGGGUACGGGAGAGGUGAGUGGAAUUCCGAGUGUAGAGGUGAAAUUCGUAGAUAUUCGGAAGAACACCAGUGGCGAAGGCGGCUCACUGGCCCGUUACCGACGCUCAGGCGCGACAGCGUGGGGAGCAAACAGGAUUAGAUACCCUGGUAGUCCACGCCGUAAACGAUGGAUGCUAGCCGUUGGUAAGCAUGCUUAUCAGUGGCGCAGCUAACGCAUUAAGCAUCCCGCCUGGGGAGUACGGCCGCAAGGUUG